UUAUAGUUACAUAAUCACUCCAUGAAAUUAAUGAAAAAUUAUGGAUCAUAAUUCCUUAUGAGAUAGUGGGAGUUAUAAGGAAGCUAAAGGUUGCUAAUGGGAGAGAGUGGGGAGAGUAAGAGAUAUAUAUUCUGAACAUCCACAUUCAUUUUAAUAAAUUCAUAACACUCCCCUUUGGAUGUUCAUUACAAAAAAUAUGUCUCAUUAAAAUCUUUACUAAAAAAAACCCUUAGGAAAAAAAUUAGUAAAAGAAAAAUAGUACAUUAUUCAUUGUCCUGAAUAAUUUUGGAGAUAUAGAGUUGCCUCAUUAAAACCUUACUAGGAAAAACCCUAUAGGAUAAAAACCUAGUGAGGAAAAAGAGUACAACAUAUAAAAUUUCCUCUAAAAUAAAAUAUUUUCCCCAGUAAGUGUACUCCCUCUCAUCUUGACAUAGAUUCUUUAAGAUUUGAAGAAAAAUCUUUGAGCUGAUGCAUCCUAAUUUUGUGUACCAACUUUUUGAAUGUUGCCGUUGGUAUGGAUUUUGUAAAUAAAUCUGCAAGAUUAUCACUUGAGCAUAUUUGCUGAAUAUCCAUAUCACAAUUCUUUUAAAGUUCAUGUGUAUAAAAGAAUUUGGGUGAAAUAUGCUUGGAUCUAUAACAUUUUGUAUAACCACCUUUAAUUUGGGCAAUGCAUGCUACAUUAUCCUCAUAUAUUAUUGUGGGGUUAUUUUUAAUUGAUGAAAAUCCACAUGUUUCUCGAAUAUGUUGUAUUAUUGAUCUUAACCAAAUGCACUCACUACUGGCUUCAUGAAUAGCAAAUAUUUUUGAAUGAUUUGAAGAUGUUGCAACCAUUGUUUGUUUCAUUGAUCACCAUGAUACAAUACUAUUACAAAAGAUAAAUAACGUUUGAGAUCGAGCUUUAUAUGGAUCAGAGAGAUAUCCAACAUCUGCAUAUCCAAUUAAUGGUGACUUUGAUCCAUUUGGAUUAAAUAAAUCCAUGUCAAUUGUUCCACGGAGAUAGCGAAAUACAUGCUUUACACCAUUCUAAUGCCUAUGAGUUGGUGUAGAAAUACAUUUUGCUAAUAAAUUAAUUGAAAAUGCAAUAUUAGGUCGAGUACAAUUUGCAAGAUACAUGAGUGCACCAAUUGCACUUAAAUAUGGUACUUUAGGACCAAGAAUUGCUUCACCAUCUUCUUUAGGACGAAAUGGAUAUUUUUCUACAUCAAGUGAUUGCACGACCAUUGGAGUGCUUAAUAGAUAGGCUUCAUCCAUAUAAAAAUGCUUCAAAACAUUUUUAAUGUAUGUGGACCGAUGUAAGAGUAUUCUAGUUGGCAAAUACUCAAUUUGUAAGCAAAGAUAGAUUUUGUUUUUUCAAAAUCUUUCAUUUCAAACUCAUUUUUCAAACAAGAAUACGUUUUUGAAAGCUCUUCAGGAAUUCCAAUAAGAUUUAAAUCAUCGACAUAUACUACAACUAUUGCUAAUCCAAUUUCAGAUUUUUUUAAUAAAAAUACAAGGACAAAUUGGAUUAUUUACAUAUCAUUCUUUCAAUAAAUAGCUGCUUAGGCGAUUGUACCACAUACACCCAUAUUAUUUUAAUCCAUACAAGGAUCGUUGCAGUUUCAAAGAAUAUAAACUACGAGGUUUUAAUUUGUUUGCUUUUGGCAUUUUAAAUCUUUCGGGAAUUUUUAUAUAAAUAUCUGCAUCAAUAGAACCAUAUAGAUAUGCAUUCACUAUUGGAGAAAAAUCAGGUUUUUAAAUUUUUAUAAAACCUUUUAAGGACCGCUCUCAUAUAAUAUAUAAGAAUUUGUAAUCUAGAAAUCUUACCUUGAAAAUCUGAUUUGGCUUUUUCCGUUGAAGCGAUUUAGGCUCCCAUAUCACGAUCCGUCACCACCACUCCUGUUAGAUCACAAUCCGUCACCACCACGUUUGUCAUAUCACGAACUGUCACCAAUGAUCUUCCAAGUUAUGACUCAGGUUUGAUUUGCACUUGACAUGUGGGCGUCUUUAUCACUACCAAAGCAACUAGCACGAGAAAAUUUUUCUCUCAACAAUAGAGAGAAAAAUCUUUUUCUCUGAUCUGUAUAAAGUGGUUGUUCUCUCUUUCUUUAGAGAAAAUAAACCUUUUUAUAUCUCCCUGUAGUGAAAACCCUAGACUCCAAAUAAUGAAAAAAAAAACUCACGUUACUUGCUUUUUCUAUAGGGGACCCACCUUGUAAAAUAACAUAAGGUCCCUUACACACAAGCUAACUAAAUGGAGCCUCCCACUAAAUGAUAUAUUUAGGCUUUUAACCCAAAUAACUAGUUAUUUUACUUAUUAAUCCAGUAGUGGUGCAGUCAAUUAAAUGAGCUAACCCGGGAAUCAUUUGGGAACAUAUAAUAGUGGCUACAAUAAUUGGGCAUGUAAUUAAACUAGCCCAAUUAUUUAAUUCCCAAUCUACUCCACUAAAAGAUUGGAACUGACUUUCAUAAUUGUGUGCUCGAAUAAUAAUUCGUCCCAAGCCACAUUGAUUUUUUUACUGCACAAUCUUUUGUACCACAUCAUUAAUUAAAUCGAUAUCUCAACUGUCCAAUCGAUUUAAUUACAUUUUAUUCCUUGAUACUUACUGGUUUUCUCUAAUAAUCAUUUUCAACAUACUAAAUAUAUUGACACACUCUGGCUAGAGAAUUCUAUGAUCAAGUGCCGAAAACCCAUCAAGAGAUGUGUUGUACAAAUUUUAUAUUGUUAAUCUAUAACUCCAAUACUCAUAAAUGCUCCCACCAAGAUACCGGGUAAUCUAGACUACAAGUAUGUGUCAUGCCCAUUGGUAACUCAAAUAGAAUAACAAUUACAAUCAUAAAAUCAUAAUUAACUCAAGAUUAAGAUUACAGUAAAACCAAUGCCAAUGAGAUUUAAUAAGUCUGACAGUUAUUACAAAGUUAAUUAAAUCUCAUAUGUGAUCCUGUUCAAUGUAGUCGUACUACAUCAAUAAAUUCAUACAUGAUUAAGACAAAUCAUUCAAUGAAUUUAUUACAGUCUAUACCUAAAUAAAGUGCCCAACUUUAUUUAUCAACUACGAACUAAAUUUAUUUAAUCAUAAGAUAACUUAUAUUUAUAUCUUCUGUGAAUCCACAUGGUGAUAACAUAAAUAUAUAUAAUAUAAUUAAAUGGAUUUUAAUAAAAAUAUUAAUGCAAUUAAGAUAUUUGAAUAAAAUACUUCAUUAAUUUUAUUAAUCAGAAAAAUGUUUAUUACAAUUAAAUAAACACAUAUGCUUUUAAAGAGCAUAUUUUCCUAACAAUCUCCCACUAGCUCUCAAAGCAUAUUUGGCAUCUCACACAUGCCCAUGGAUUCUAAGUGCAAGUUAAAAGGUUUCCCAGGUAUGGCCUUAGUAAAAGGAUCUGCCAGGUUUUGCUGUGACACAAUCUGAGUAAUCUCCACAUCACCUCUUUGCACUAUAUCCCUUAUAAGAUGAUACUUCCUCUUAAUAUGUUUUUGUUUCUUAUGGUUCCUUGGUUCCUUAGAUUGAGCUACCGCACCACUAUUAUCGCAAAAUAGUUUAAGGGGUGUAGUUACAGCAGGUACCACUUCAAGAUCUUGUAGGAACUUGCGGAGCCAUACAGCUUCUUUUGCAGCUUCAGAUACAGCCACAUAUUCAGCUUCAGUUGUGGAGUCUGCGAUACAAGAUUGUUUCACACUCCUCCAACUAAUAGCUCCACUUCCCAAUGUAAACACAUAGCCGGAAGUUGAUUUUCUGGAAUCCUUAUCUGACAUAAAGUCAGAAUCAGUAUAACCCACUGGAAUGAGUUCAUCACCAGAAUACACAAGCAUAUAAUUUUUAGUUCUUUUCAGAUACUUCAUUAUAUGCUUGACCGCAGUCCAGUGUUUAGGUCUAGGGUUAGAUUGAUAUCUACUAACCAUCCCUACCGCAAAACAGAUGUCUGGCCUAGUGCAAAGCAUGGCAUACAUGAGACUUCCCACAGCUUCUGCAUAGGGAACUCGUCUCAUUCUCUCUAUCUCUUCAGAUGUUUUAGGUGAUUGAUCCUUAGGGUAUGUAAUUCCAUGUCUGAAUGGUAAUAAACCAGUCUUGGAAUUUUCCACGCUAAAUCUAGCCAAUAUCUUAUCGAUAUAGACUGCUUGAGACAAGACUAAAGUUUUAUUCUUCUGGUCUCGUAGUAACUUGAUACCAAGAAUAUAACUUGCCUCUCCAAGGUCUUUCAUAUCAAAUUGUUUUGCUAACCAACUCUUUAUUGUAGUCAAUACUCCUAUAUCGUUUCAAAUUAGGAGAAUAUCAUCUACAUAAAGAAUUAGGAAGGCACAUAUUUUUCUUGAAUUUUCUUGGACACACAUGGUUCAUCAAUGUUCUGAAUGAAUCCAAACGAUUUAAUCGCUUGAUUAAAUAUGAUGUUCCAUGACCCAGAUGCUUGCUUCAAUCCAUAAAUGGAUCUCUGCAACUUACAUACUAUGUAUUUUUGUCAUUUUUGUAUAAAUCCAUCUGGUUGCUGCAUGUAGAUGUUUUCUUCAAGAUGCCUGUUAAGAAAGGUAAUCUUGACAUCCAUUUGCCAAAUUUCAUAAUCUAGCACUGCAGCAAUGGAGAGCAGAAUCCUGAUGGAUUUAAGCAUAGCAACCGGAGAAAAUGUUUCCUCAUAAUCGAUUCCCUCUUUCUGAGUAAACCCUUUGGCUACUAAUCUUGCUUUAAAUAUUUCUACCCUUCCGUCUACUCCUCUUUUUCUCUUGUUGAUCCAUUUGCACCCUAUAGGUUUUACCCCAUUUGGUGCCUCUAUAAGUUCCCAGACUUUAUUGGAAUACAUAGAUUCCAUUUCUUAAUUCAUGGCCUUUUUCCAAAAUUCAACUUCUUUAUCUAUUAGGGUUUCGUUGUAACUAGUGGGAUAUUGUACAUGUUCAUCUGAGAUAGCCGUAUAGGUUUCACCCAAAAGCAUGUAUCUUGCAGGUAACCUAGUUACCCUCCCACUAUAACGAGGUUCUAAAAGUGAUGGUUGUUCAGGGUUAAUCUUGUGUUGAUCAUCUGGUUGUUGUUGUUCUUCAUGUUCUCUAACAGGCAUUGAAAGUUGAGCAUCAACCUGAUCACUUGACAGUUCUUCAAGUAUUACCUUACUCUUAGGUUUGAAAUUAUUCAUAUAGUCUUCCUCGAGAGAAGUGAAAUGUGUGCUCACGAUUACUUUUCUAUCUUGAGAACUAUAAAAUAAACCUCCCCUUGUUCCUUUGGGAUACCCCACAAACAUACAAACCUCAGAACGUGAAUCCAUUUUGCUGCCUUUGGUUUUAGCACAUGUGCUGGUGAUCCCCAAAUACGGACAUGUCAUAAACUUGGUUUGCAACCUAACCAUAAUUCUAUUGGGGUUUUAGGCACUGACUUAGAUGGAACUAAGUUCAAGAGGUAAACUGCAGUUUUCAGUGCUAGUCCCCAAAAGAGAUUAGUAAUAACGAAUAACUAAGUAUAUAUCUCACCAUAUCCAAAAGAGUUCUAUUUCUUCUUUCAGUUACCCCAUUUUGUUGUGGUGUUCCCAGGGCAGUCAACUGAGAUAUAAUCUCAUUUUCAAUCAGAUACUCUUUGAAAUCUCCUGAGAGAAAUUCAUCACCUCGAUCAGAUCGAAGUUUCUUUAUGUUCUUAUCUAAUUAUUUUUCUGUCUCAGCCCUAUACUCUUUGAAUUUCUCAAGAGCUUCAGACUUGUGACGCAUUAUAUAAACAUAACCGUAUCUUGAGUAAUCAUCAGUGAAAGUGAUGAAAUACUCAUAACCUCCUCGAGCUUGUACAUUGAUUGGUCCACAUACAUCUGUAUGUACCAAUUCAAGUGGUACUGUUGCACGUACUCCUUUGGCCGAGAAUGGCCUUUUGGUCAUUUUCCCUUCUAAACAGGAUUCACAGAGUGGCAAUAAAUCAUUUUCUAAUGGACCCAAGAGCCCAUCUUUGAUCAUUCUCUUCAUCCUAUUUUGGUUUAUAUGACCCAAGCGUAAAUGCCAGAGGUAACAUUGGUUGGAAGAAAUAUUUCUUUUCUUAGAUAAAUGUGUAUGCUCAUCAUUAUUGAUUACUGUGUCAUUCAUAGAAUGGAUAAUUGGACUUAAAUGAUAUAAAUUAUCUUCCAAUGUACCAGAACAAAUAAGUCUCUUAUUAUGAAAAAUAAAAACAGAGGAUCCAAAAUUUACAGUGUACCCUUACUUUGACAAACAAGCUACUGAAAUUAAAUUCCUCUUAAUGUCUGGAACAUAAAGACAAUUAUUCAAAACUAAAGUCUCAUUAUUAAAAGAUAAUAAAACAGAUCCAGUCUUCACUACUGACACGAACUGUCCUGUCCCUAACUGCAGCUUGACGCUUCCUUCACUUAUUUUCCUGGUUUCCUAAAACCAAUAAAGUGAAUUACAAAUAUGAUUAGUUGCUCCUGAAUCCAACACCCAAGUGUCAAUAGGAUUCUGAACUAAACAGGCCUUAAUUACAAAAAGAUUUCUCAUACCUAAUUUCACAAUCUUAGGGCAAUCCUUUUUCCAGUGACCUUUCUGUCCACACUUAAAGCAUUUGCCUUUCGACUUGCCAUCUUGCUUGGUAGACGAUUUCUUUUUCCCAGCUUUCUUCUUACCUUUGCCUUUCGGCUUAGGCCCAGAAGAUGAACUUUUUACAGUAAUAUUUAUGCUUCCCAAAGAUUUCUCAGCAUGAUAGAUCUCUUCAGCAGAAUGAAGUCCGUUCAUCAAUUCAGUUAAGGUCAUGUUUCUUUUGUUCAUGUUAUAAUUGACCUUAAACUCCUUGAAUUUUUCUGGCAGAGAUUCUAGCACCAUGUCAAUCUUUGAGUUAUCAUCGAUUUGUGCUCCCUGAAUCUCAACCUCAUUCAAAUAGUCCAUCAUUUUGAGGACAUGAUCACGAACUCUUGUGCCCUUCCCCAUUUUACUGUUCAUAAUUCCUUUCAGCGCUGCUUGUCUCGCAGAGUGAGUACUCUGCCUGAACAUCUGUUGGAGACUAUCCAUUAUAUUAGUGGCAGUCUCCAAGUUCUGAUGUUUGGUCUGCAGAAUAUUAGAAAUCUAGGCUAAAAUGUAGCACUUUGCCAUUUCAUUGGCCUUUUGCCAUUUCUCAUAAAGUCUCCUCUGAUUUCUAUGAGCAUCAUCCGCUGGAACUGGAGGGCAUGGCUGGGUUAAGACAUAUUUAUAAUUUUCAGUAGUCAGGACAAUGAAUAGAUUUCUUUUCCAAUCUAUAUAGUUCUCUCCAGUGAGUUUGUUUUGACUUAGAAUAAUAGUAAGUGGGCUCAGGGAAAACAUUUUCUGAAAAAUAAAACAUCCAUGCAUAAAUAAUUUGAAAUAAUAUUCACAAUAAAUGACAAAAAUGUAUAAAACCAUAAAUGCAUUUUAAUUUAUUGUAACGAUAAUCUAGUUCCGCUUUGACAAGCUAUCCGAUGGGGAAGUCAUGUCUAUACUUACUAGACCCAAUUACCCAUUGGAUUAUUUACUUUCAUGUAGAGACAUGAUAAAUAAUUAUCGUUAUCCUUUUCGGGCCUAAAUUUGUUAACAAAGUUUCGUUGGGAAGGUUAAUAACAAAAUUUAGUUGAGUGUAUAAUCAUUGUUUCAAUCUACGUAUUUUUCAUAUCAAUAGUCACCGUUGGGGUGAACAAUCGAUUGAAAAAUAUUUCAAUUUUAUCUUUGAAGAAAUUCAUCAAAUAAAAUAUCUAAUAUAUAUACUCUCCGAAAGGAGCAUCACCGUAUCAUGAAGUCGAGGUAUAUAUAUAAUUUUAUUAUUGAACUAACAAUGGAGCCCGUGGGAAAAUUAUCUUGAAUUUUCCCUCUCCCACUCAAUAUUUUAAAAUUAGUUUUUCCUUUUAAAACAUACAUAUUAUUAGUUGCAUGCUUCCUAUAAUAUUAUCUAGAUGAUAUCCAAUAUUAUUAAGCAUACGUAAAUUUCAAAUAAUAUAAUGAAAUUCAUUAUUAAUGAAUGACAUGUAUCAUUAUGCAUAGAGUGGCACUAACUAUUCUAUAUGACAUGUUAUUAUGGCAUGUUAUCAUCCAAAACAUAACAUAUAGAAAAUAAAAAUAAUUAAAUAAUCUUAAUUCAUGACUUUCCUAAUAAUGAAAAAUACAUUAACCCUAAGCCUAAUCUUCAUUGGGCUUCUUGUCAAUGUCCAUCUUCCAUAAGUUUGUCUUUGUUAAUGGACUAGAGGAAAUUGAGCUUUUAAAUUUAUAAUUGGUCCAAUUUUAAUUUUGAAAGGAAAUAAAUAAAUAAUUAAAUUUUUUUUAUUAAAAUAAAACUUUUGGACCAAAAAUAAAUUUAAUGUAUUUAAUUUUAUCUAUGCAUUUUAAUCCAUUAAGCCCAAUUGAAAUUGGGCCUAAAACUAGGAUUCAUUAAGCCCAAAAUUAUUUUUGGACUUUAACACAAAAAAUUAAUAUGUUUCUGCCCAAAAGAAAAAUUACAGAACCAUAGGGACCUCAAUGAUAAAAAUCAUGAAACCCUAAAAUCCAUAUUUUUCGUUCUCCUUCUUCCCCAGCUUCCAUCUCCACAAAAGCCCAGCCGUUGUUCACUGUUUCCACACCGGACAACCGUCAUCAAUGCCAGAAAGACGCCAACCAAAACGCUCCGCCAGCUGCCUUCACGCGCGCGCCUCCAGCCCACAUUUGCGCUGCUGCUUGGCCGCUACAGCUGCUGCGUGUGCAAUGCCUGGCAGCGUGUGCUGCUGGGCUGCACGUGGAGCACGCGCUGCCGGCAACGUGUACUGCUAGCCGCGCGCUGCUACUCUGGUUUGUUGCCGCAGUUUCCAGCAAGUUUCCACAAUUUUCCAGUAAUUAAUUUACAAAUUUCCUAGGCCAAUCUUGGCUUACAAAAAUUCUAUAAGAGUAAAAUAAAUCAAGAGGGAAACAUGGUGAUGAAAAGCCAUCCCUCUUGUUACAGAUCCAAGGAAAAAAUACAGUGUAAAAUCUAACCAUAAAUUAAGACAAACCAUAACAUGCUUUAUUCAUGUAUUAAACAAAUAAUAUAUAUCUGAAUAAAAUGUGCCACUCUAAUACAUAAAUUUCAAGAUUAAUUUCAUACGAAAUUCUUAUAUAUUAAUAUGAGAUGGCUCUAAUACCAAUUGUUGGAGAAAAAUCAGGUUUUUAAAUUUUUAUAAAACCUUUUAAGGACCACUCUUAUAUCAUAUAUAGGAAUUUGUAAUCUAGAAAUCGUACCUUGAAGAUCUGAUUUGGCUUUUUCUGUUGAAGCGAUUUAGGCUCCCAGAUCACGAUCCGUCACCACCACUCCUGUUAGAUCACGAUCCGUCACCACCACGCUUGUCAUAUCACGAACUGUCACCAAUGAUCUUCCAACUUAUGACUCGGGUUUGAUCUGCACUUGACGUGUAGGUGUCUUUAUCACUACCAAAGCAACUAGCACGAGAAAAUUUUUCUCUCCAUAGUAGAGAGAAAAAUCUUUUUCUCUGAUCUGUAUAAAGUGGCUGCUCUCUCUUUCAUUAGAGAAAAUAAAUCUUUUUAUAUCUCCCUUUAGUGAAAACCCUAGGCUCCAAAUAAUGAAAAACAAAACUCACGUUACUUGCUUUUUCUAUAGGAGACCCACCUUGUAAAAUAACAUAAGGCCUCUUACCCACAAGCUAAUUAAAUGGAGCCUCCCAUUAAAUGAUAUAUUUAGGCUUUUGACCCAAAUAACUAGUUAUCUUACUUAUUAAUCAAGUAGUGGUGCAGUCAAUUACAUGAGCUAACCCGGGGAUCAUUUGGGAACAUACAAUAGUGGCUACAAUAAUUAGGCAAGUAAUUAAACUAGCCCAAUUAUUUAAUUCCAAAUCUACUCCACUAAAAGAUUGGAACUGACUUCCAUAAUUGUAUGCUCGAAUAAUAAUUCGUCCCAAGCCACAUUGAUUUCUUUACUGCACAAUCCUUUGUACCACAUCAUUAAUUAAAUCGAUAUCUCAACUGUCCAAUCGAUUUAAUUACAUCUUAUUCCUUGAUACUUACUGGUUUUCUCUAAUAAUCAUUUUCAACAUACUAAAUAUAUUGACACACUCUGGCCAGAGAAUUCUAUGAUCAAGUGCCGAAAACCCCUGGCCAGAGAAUUCUAUGAUCAAGUGCCAAAAACUCAUUAAGAGAUGUAUUGUACAAAUUCUAUAUUGUUAAUCUAUAACUCCAAUACUCAUAAAUGCUCCCACCAAGAUACCAGGUAAUCUAGACUACAAGUAUGUGUCAUGCCCAUUGGUAACUGAAAUGGAAUAACAAUUACAAUCAUGAAAUCAUAAUUAACUCAAGAUUAAGAUUAUAGUAAAACUAAUGCCAAUGAGAUUUAAUAAGUCUGACAGUUAUUACAAAGUUAAUUAAAUCUCAUAUGUGAUCCUGUUCAAUGUAGUCGUACUACAUUAAUAAAUUCAUACAUGAUUAAGACAAAUCAUUCAAUGAAUUUAUUACAGUCUAUACCUAAAUAAAGUGCCCAACUUUAUUUAUCAACUGCGAACUAAAUUUAUUUAAUCAUAAGAUAAAUUAUAUUUAUGUCUUCUUUGAAUCCACAUGGUAAUCACAUAAAUAUAUAUAAUAUGAU
rnacentral:lncRNA from 1 species